rnacentral:tRNA from 3 species
GCACCCUUAGCUCAGCUGGAUAGAGCAUCGGACUUCUAAUCCGUGUGUCCCAGGUUCGAAUCCUGGAGGGUGCGCCA